rnacentral:lncRNA from 1 species
UGCAUCAAAUCAGAUUGGAUCACUUGAAGCAACGCCUGCCUGUCAAAGCUCUCAAUUGGCUCUUAUCAGAAGCCCAAAUACAUUUGGAAUUUAAAUUUGUUAGGGAGAAUAAUUUCAUUGUAUUUUAAUGUAGCCUUUUCCCAUAUUACCAUUUUUCUAACUUUGUAAAUAUCCAUGGGAUUACACCAUUUACGGAUCAUCAUUCU